rnacentral:rRNA from 1 species
AUUGAACGCUGGCGGCAUGCUUUACACAUGCAAGUCGAACGGUAACAGGUUAAGCUGACGAGUGGCGAAAGGGUGAGUAAUGCAUCGGAACGUGCCCGAUCGUGGGGGAUAACGCAGCGAAAGCUGCGCUAAUACCGCAUACAAUCUGAGGAUGAAAGCGGGGGACCGUAAGGCCUCGCGCGAUCGGAGCGGCCGAUGUCAGAUUAGGUAGUUGGUGGGGUAAAGGCUCACCAAGCCGACGAACUGUAGCUGGUCUGAGAGGAGGACCAGCCACCCUGGGACUGAGACGCGGCCCAGACUCCUACGGGAGGCAGCAGUGGGUAAUUUUGGACAAUGGGCUCAAGCCUGAACCAGCCAUGCCGCGUGCAGGAUGAAGGCCUUCGGGUUGUAAACUGCUUUUGUACGGAACGAAAAGACUCUUUCUAAUAAAGAGGGUCCAUGACGGUACCGUAAGAAUAAGCACCGGCUAACUACGUGCCAGCCGCCGCAGUAAGAC